CCAAGGAGUCUAACAUGUGCGCGAGUCAUUGGGACUUGAUAAGCCUAAAGGCGCAAUGAAAGUGAAGGUCGUCCUUAGCGUCGACCAAGGGAGGAUGGUUCGCGUUACGAUGCGAGCCCGCACUCCCGGGGCGUCUCGUGCUCAUUACGAGCAGAGGCGCACCUAGAGCGUACACGUUGGGACCCGAAAGAUGGUGAACUAUGCCUGGUCAGGACGAAGUCAGGGGAAACCCUGAUGGAGGUCCGUAGCGAUUCUGACGUGCAAAUCGAUCGUCGGAACUGGGUAUAGGGGCGAAAGACUAAUCGAACCAUC
rnacentral:rRNA from 1 species